rnacentral:rRNA from 1 species
AACGAACGCUGGCGGCAGGCCUAACACAUGCAAGUCGAACGCUGAAGCUGACUUCGGUCAGUGGAAGAGUGGCGGACGGGUGAGUAACGCGUGGGAAUCUGCCUGACAGUACGGAACAACCUGGGGAAACUCAGGCUAAUACCGUAUAUUCCUUUCGAGGGAAAGAUUUAUCGCUGUCAGAUGAGCCCGCGUCAGAUUAGUUAGUUGGUAGGGUAAAAGCCUACCAAGACAAUGAUCUGUAGCUGGUUUGAGAGGACGAUCAGCCACACUGGGACUGAGACACGGCCCAGACUCCUACGGGAGGCAGCAGUGAGGAAUAUUGGACAAUGGGCGCAAGCCUGAUCCAGCCAUGCCGCGUGAAUGAUGAAGGUCUUAGGAUUGUAAAAUUCUUUCACCGGGGAAGAUAAUGACGGUACCCGGAGAAGAAGCUCCGGCUAACUCCG